ACCUGGUUGAUUCUGCCGGACCCGACUGCUAUCAGAGUGAGAUUAAGCCAUGCGAGUUAACGUAGCAAUACGUGGCGCACGGCUCAGUAACACGUAGUCAACAUGCCCAGAGGACGCGGAUAACCUCGGGAAACUGAGUCUAAACCGCGAUAAGUGAGGAUUUCUGGAAUGGUUCCUGACUAAAAUCUAUAUGGCCUCUGGAUUGGACUGCGGCCGAUCAGGCUGUUGGUGAGGUAAUGGCCCACCAAACCUGUAACCGGUACGGGCUCUGAGAGGAGGAGCCCGGAGAUGGGCACUGAGACAAGGGCCCAGGCCCUAUGGGGCGCAGCAGGCGCGAAACCUCUGCAAUAGGCGAAAGCCUGACAGGGUUACUCUGAGUGACUUUCGCUAAGAAAGUCUUUUGGCACCUUUAAAAAGGGUGCAGAAUAAGGGGUGGGCAAGUCUGGUGUCAGCCGCCGCGGUAAUACCAGCACCCCGAGUGGUCGGGACGAUUAUUGGGCCUAAAGCAUCCGUAGCCGGUUCUGCAAGUCCCCCGUUAAAUCCAGCUGCUCAACAGAUGGGCCGCGGAGGAUACUACAGAGCUAGGAGGCAGGAGAGGCAAGCGGUACUCAGUGGGUAGGGGUAAAAUCCGUUGAUCCAUUGAAGACCACCAGUGGCGAAGGCGGCUUGCCAGAAUGCGCUCGACGGUGAGGGAUGAAAGCUGGGGGAGCAAACCGGAUUAGAUACCCGGGUAGUCCCAGCCGGAAACGAUGCAGACUCGGUGAUGGGUUGGCUUCGUGCUAACCCAGUGCCGCAGGGAAGCCGUUAAGUCUGCCGCCUGGGUAGUACGGUCGCAAGACUGAAACUUAAAGGAAUUGGCGGGGGAGCACCACAAGGGGUGAAGCCUGCGGUUCAAUUGGAGUCAACGCCGGG
rnacentral:rRNA from 1 species